GACAAGUCUUGCAGUUUAUAACACAGGCAAGAGAUAUGAUAUUGCAGCCACUUUGGCUCUAUUCUCUCUCCACGACAGGCAUGUGAUUGCUGCACAAAGGAGGGAGAAAUGCAGCCAUCGGCUGCAGAGACAGAGAGGAGGCCGGGAGGAAAGGAGUUUCCUGAAACGUUGCAUUAUGAGAAACAUGAAGAUGUCCCUGAGCGUGUUAAGCUGUUGCCAGCCACGAUUGUUAUACUAAAGAUGUACCUGGUCCGCGGAGGACAUCUUUCAGCCUAGUUUUUGAAGACCUGUUACUUCUCUUCCUCAAUUUUGAGUUUAAUAGAUGCAGAAAGACUUCCUACCUGAAAUUCCACCUUUAAAGCAUGUCUAUGAAACAAAGGUUUUCUACCAGCUCUUCCAUCCAAGUUUGAAACCUCCUGCUGAGCUUUUCUUCCCAAUGUGUGGGGCCAGCCACGGUGUUGCUACCCGGGAGGGAGUGGUCUCGAUGGGUAGCAUUUGCUGAUUUCCCUGAUGCAAACUCUCGCAUGGUGGCUGAUUUCAAGGACUAGCGAGACCUCAUUGCUGAAGAGCUGGGAAAAGCUGCCCCCGUCAGCUCUCCACAGCCAGUACAAGCUGGCUCCCGCCUACGCAGGAGACCCACGGAUUAUGCCCAUCUUUGGGAAAUGGCUCAGUUCAUUGCUCAGAGAUAAGGAACUGCUCAAAAGAGAGAGAAUGCUGAUAGGAACAGGCCAGAUGUGGGGACGCAAAGACAUAUAAUGUACCAGACAAUGCCAGGAGGGUGGAUAUGAAGCAAAGAAAAGACAUCUUCUCAAAAUAAAUAAAUAAAAAGACAUCUUCUCUCCCUUUUACAAAGACACAAAAUCCCAGAGUCUUGAAUGCUGUGUCCCAGAAGGGUCCAUUUUCAAUGGCACAAUAAUACAUGGAAGAGGCUUAAAACUGUGCCUAACAUUUCGUGCUCUAUACGUUGUCUUAGUUGUUGUUAAAACUCAACUUUCUGGGAUGCCUCAACUGGCCACGUAUCUUGAUAAAUUCAUUAUUUUCUUCAAUUAUGCUGUAAGAAGAAUACUUGUAUCUUCUUCAGCCUCCAACAGACAUUCCUUCACCAUCUACGGAAAGACCCUGAAUAUUUUCACUGGAAAAGGGCCAGUAGUGAAAUUGGCAAACACUCCUUCAACCAGGACAAUGCUUCUGGGGAAAUGACAUUUAUUGAGCACCUACUACAUGCCAGGCAACUACAAAAGAUCUCAUUUCACCCUCACAGCAACUCUGUAAAGGAGGCGCUAUUGCUGUCCUUUUAUAAAUAAGGAAACUGGGGCUCUGAGAUGUUAAGGGAGUUGUCUAGGACUAUAUGGUGAGAUAGUAACAUAGCUGGGGUGACUCAAAUCAGAAUCUCUCAGGCUCAAAGCACGUUCCUCUCUCUAUGUGUCCACACUGCCCUUGAUUGAGAGAAGGCAGAGCUCAAAGGUGGCAUUUUCAUCAGGUUGUGAAUCCACUUUCAUGUCAUAUCACUGUGUGAAUGGGACUCCCGCAUUUGCACAGUGUACAGCCUGUGAACCCUUACCUUACAUGGCUGUGUGCAUAUUUCUUGCCCCUCUUCUCUGUUACCUAUACCCCAUGGCCAUUUUCUCUUCCCCAGACUACACCCCAAUGCAGAAACAAAGGUCCAAAGAAAACACUCACUUCCACUUCAGUGAAACACAAAUACUUUUCUCCUCAGAGGGUUGAGGAAGGAGAGAGAAAAGAUGGUGGCCACUGAAAACAGGAGUGGAGGAUGGUCUGGAUUCCAGAAGGAUGAGGAGCACCCUAAGCAGAAGAAAGAAGGUUCCUCUGUCAGAGAAGUCCAGCAAGGAGGGUGAGCUGCCCCCACAGAAGCCUCUGCCAAGUUCUCCUGUAGACAACGUCCCGGACACGUGUACGUCCCCCUAACCUUCGGGUCAGGAACCUGGGUAAGGGACCGCGAAGGAAAGCUGAGUCCCUGACUGAGUGAUAACUGAGCGGAAAUCAGUGGGGACAUUUCCCUGUGGGCAGCAACAAGUAGUGAUGGGGUUCCAUGCUGUCCCUGGCCACAGGGAGAUGUGCUGUGGGUAAACUACGUACCAUAAAGGCAGUACAAGCGGUCCUGGGGAUGAAAAAAUACCAUCUGAAAUAGCUGCCACCAAAAUUCCUCUUUGAGAGGAAACUCCUUUGUUGGAAGGGUUACUUGGGAAGUACUAGGGUUAAAUAGUGAGCCCUUGAGGGGCAUGGGUGUGGUGGGCACAAGGUCUGUGAGGAGAGCAUGGCCUGGGCUUCCCGUGGUUGGUAUGGAGGCAGGGUGGAUGGGUGGGAGGAAAGAGGUGAAAAGAAAGACAGGAAGGUGAAGGGGGGUGUCAGCGAGGUAACGGGAAGCUGCCUAGAGAGGCGGAAUGCCCCUCUCUGCAAGGAAACAUACUCAACCCCCGGCUGUGACUGGGGUGAAUGGGACUUUCUGGCGACUUCAGAAGCAGCUGUGGUCACAUCUGGGUGGCUGUGAUGUGGGACAGAGACUACCUGCAAAGACUUGGGGUCCUGGAGGCUGCAGUGACCCUGACUACAUCAGCCCCUCUCUAUCCCCAGAGUGGGAAGAAACUGUAGGUUCAAGCCAAGUUUAGCUAUUUACUGUGACCUUGGUAGGUCCCUGCUGAUAGCUGGCUUAUGUAAAAUUCAGACAAUGAGCAGAGAAAACAUAAAUUCCAGCACAGGCGAAUUUGGAAAAUGCUGUAUAGAGCAAAUCGUGUUGACUUAGCAUUUGUGCUUAGCCGAGAAGGUGCUGCCCUGCACGUGCUCAGAGCCCCUCUCCCAUUUCACCAACUAGACAAGCCACUCCGCCAUCCUGCAGAGAAGCUAAGAGAGGGAAGGGCAGGUUGCUCUCCCAUGCUUCUGAACAUGUGGAAGAGGCAAGGGAGAAACAUGGGGUGAGGAAGAGAGAAAGACUUUCCCUAUCCGAAGAGCAAACCAGUCUGUGUAUGUUUGCCUCCAGUCAAACAGCUUCUAAAUACUGAAGAGUGCCAGAGGACUAUUUAUUUUGCCACUUACAAGCGAUCAGAAAAAAACCUUUUAUUUACAUUGUGGAGGCUCAAGGACCCUGAACUUAUUCUUAGGCUAUUAAAAUAAUUUUACUAUUUUGGCAACGUCUAAAUGCAAGUAAUUUAAGACACCCCUCUGCCUAAGGCUAACAAAAUCAUUGUGGUAUAACUAUUAGUUUGGUGCUAAAAGUAAUUGUGGUUUUUGCCAUUAAAAGUAUUUGUAGAACAAACCAAUUACUCUUGCACCAACUUAAUAGCAUUGGAUCCACUAACCUGGAAACACCACACCAGAGAGGUGCCUGACUGCAAGGAGAGCACAUGGUUGGCACAUGCCAAAUGUUUGUGGAAGAAGCUGGGGAGUCCCCAGCAGCUGAGAUGGAUGGUGAUCAUCAACUUCCGAAGUGUUAAAGAAAACUGAAGGGUUCUGGCCAGGCGUGGUGGUUCACACCUGUAAUCCCAGCACUUUGGGAGGCUGAGGUAGGCGGAUCACCUGAGGUCAGGAGUUCUAGACCAGCCUGGACAACAUGGCAAAACUCCAUCUCUACUAAAAAUACAAAAAUUAGCCGGGUGUGGUGGUGCAUGCCUGUGGUCCCAGCUGCUCGGGAGGCUGAGGCCAAAGACUCAUUUGAACCCAGUAGGUGGAGCUUGCAGUGAGUUUAGAUUACACCACUGCACUCCAGUCUGGGCAACAGAGUGAGAUUCUGC
rnacentral:lncRNA from 10 species